rnacentral:rRNA from 1 species
AUUGAACGCUGGCGGAAUGCUUUACACAUGCAAGUCGAACGGCAGCACGGGGGCAGCCCUGGUGGCGAGUGGCGAACGGGUGAGUAAUACAUCGGAACGUGCCCGGUCGUGGGGGAUAACGUAGCGAAAGUUACGCUAAUACCGCAUACGAUCUGAGGAUGAAAGCGGGGGACCUUCGGGCCUCGCGCGAUCGGAGCGGCCGAUGUCAGAUUAGGUAGUUGGUGGGGUAAAGGCCUACCAAGCCGACGAUCUUUAGCUGGUCUGAGAGGACGACCAGCCACACUGGGACUGAGACACGGCCCAGACUCCUACGGGAGGCAGCAGUGGGGAAUUUUGGACAAUGGGCGCAAGCCUGAUCCAGCCAUUCCGCGUGCAGGACGAAGGCCUUCGGGUUGUAAACUGCUUUUGUACGGAACGAAAAGGCUCUGGCUAAUACCUGGGGCUCAUGACGGUACCGUAAGAAUAAGCACCGGCUAACUACGUG